GUAGGUGGCAAGCGUUGUCCGGAAUUAUUGGGCGUAAAGCGCGCGCAGGCGGUUCUUUAAGUCUGAUGUGAAAGCCCACGGCUCAACCGUGGAGGGUCAUUGGAAACUGGAGAACUUGAGUACAGAAGAGGAAAGUGGAAUUCCACGUGUAGCGGUGAAAUGCGUAGAGAUGUGGAGGAACACCAGUGGCGAAGGCGGCUUUCUGGUCUGUAACUGACGCUGAGGCGCGAAAGCGUGGGGAGCAAACAGGAUUAGAUACCCUGGUAGUCCACGCCGUAAACGAUGAGUGCUAAGUGUUAGGGGGGUUUCCGCCCCCCUUAGUGCUGCAGCUAACGCAUUAAGCACUCCGCCUGGGAGUACGGCCGCAAGGCUG
rnacentral:rRNA from 1 species